GGUAUUACGACGCAGUUCACGGUCAAGAGCGAGAUUUGCAGGAAGUCGCACAGACAGGUGAAAGGAUGUAAACAGCGAGACUGUUUGACUCAGGUAACAGCUGUGAUGAAGUAUGUUGCACCAGUUUGGACCCACGUCAUUCUGAGCCUGGAACAGCAGACAGGACUGAAGUGCACAGGUGAUCACGAGCAGCUUGACGACGUCCUGUGAAAAGAGAAAACAGGUAGGUU